AUCCAUCUAACAAGUUCCAAAUAGGAUGAAACGUGCGUCGUGGAU
rnacentral:hammerhead_ribozyme from 1 species